rnacentral:rRNA from 1 species
AUUGAACGCUGGCGGCAUGCCUAACACAUGCAAGUCGAGCGGAUGAAGGGAGAUUGCGCCUGGAUUCAGCGGCGGACGGGUGAGUAAUGCCUAGGAAUCUGCCUUGUAGUUGGGGAUAACGUCCGGAAACGGGCGCUAAUACCGCAUACGUCCUGAGGGAGAAAGUGGGGGAUCUUCGGACCUCAAGCUAUCAGAUGAGCCUAGGUCGGAUUAGCUAGUUGGUGGGGUAACGGCCUACCAAGGCGACGAUCCGUAGCUGGUCUGAGAGGAUGAUCAGUCACACUGGAACUGAGACACGGUCCAGACUCCUACGGGAGGCAGCAGUGGGGAAUAUUGGACAAUGGGCGAAAGCCUGAUCCAGCCAUGCCGCGUGUGUGAAGAAGGUCUUCGGAUUGUAAAGCACUUUAAGUUGGGAGGAAGGGCAGUAAGUUAAUACAUUGCUGUUUUGACGUUACCAACAGAAUAAGCCCCGGCUAACUUCGUG